rnacentral:rRNA from 1 species
UGUGAAGUCAUUGAUGCCAUGCUUCCAGGAAAAGCCUCUAAGCUUCAGAUUGUAAGGAAUCGUACCCCAAACCGACACAGGUGGUCGGGUAGAGAAUACCAAGGCGCUUGAGAGAACUCGGGUGAAGGAACUAGGCAAAAUGGUACCGUAACUUCGGGAGAAGGUACGCUCUUGACGGUGAAGUCCCUUGCGGAUGGAGCUAUUGAGAGUCGCAGAUACCAGGUGGCUGCAACUGUUUAUUAAAAACACAGCACUGUGCAAAAUCGUAAGAUGACGUAUACGGUGUGACGCCUGCCCGGUGCCGGAAGGUUAAUUGAUGGGGUUAGUCCUUGGACGAAGCUCUUGAUCGAAGCCCCGGUAAACGGCGGCCGUAACUAUAACGGUCCUAAGGUAGCGAAAUUCCUUGUCGGGUAAGUUCCGACCUGCACGAAUGGCGUAAUGAUGGCCACGCUGUCUCCACCCGAGACUCAGUGAAAUUGAAAUCGCUGUGAAGAUGCAGUGUACCCGCGGCUAGACGGAAAGACCCCGUGAACCUUUACUACAGCUUGGCACUGAACAUUGACCCUACAUGUGUAGGAUAGGUGGGAGGCUUUGAACCCGGUACGCCAGUAUCGGUGGAGCCGUCCUUGAAAUACCACCCUUGUAGUGUUGAUGUUCUAACGUUGACCCCUUAUCGGGGUUGCGGACAGUGCCUGGUGGGUAGUUUGACUGGGGCGGUCUCCUCCCAAAGAGUAACGGAGGAGCACGAAGGUGGGCUAAUCACGGUUGGACAUCGUGAGGUUAGUGCAAUGGCAUAAGCCCGCUUGACUGCGAGAAUGACAAUUCGAGCAGGUGCGAAAGCAGGUCAUAGUGAUCCGGUGGUUCUGAAUGGAAGGGCCAUCGCUCAACGGAUAAAAGGUACUCCGGGGAUAACAGGCUGAUACCGCCCAAGAGUUCAUAUCGACGGCGGUGUUUGGCACCUCGAUGUCGGCUCAUCACAUCCUGGGGCUGAAGUCGGUCCCAAGGGUAUGGCUGUUCGCCAUUUAAAGUGGUACGCGAGCUGGGUUUAGAACGUCGUGAGACAGUUCGGUCCCUAUCUGCCGUGGGCGUUGGAAGAUUGAAGGGGGCUGCUCCUAGUACGAGAGGACCGGAGUGGACGAACCUCUGGUGUUCGGGUUGUGUCGCCAGACGCAUUGCCCGGUAGCUAAGUUCGGAAUCGAUAACCGCUGAAAGCAUCUAAGCGGGAAGCGAGCCCUGAGAUGAGUCUUCCCUGACCCCUUGAGGGUCCUAAAGGGUUGUUCGAGACUAGAACGUUGAUAGGCAGGGUGUGUAAGUGCUGUGAGGCAUUGAGCUAACCUGUACUAAUUGCCCGUGAGGCUUAACCAU